rnacentral:rRNA from 1 species
GACGAACGCUGGCGGCGUGCUUAACACAUGCAAGUCGAACGGAAAGGCCCUGCUUUUGUGGGGUGCUCGAGUGGCGAACGGGUGAGUAACACGUGAGUAACCUGCCCUUGACUUUGGGAUAACUUCAGGAAACUGGGGCUAAUACCGGAUAGGAGCUCCUGCUGCAUGGUGGGGGUUGGAAAGUUUCGGCGGUUGGGGAUGGACUCGCGGCUUAUCAGCUUGUUGGUGGGGUAGUGGCUUACCAAGGCUUUGACGGGUAGCCGGCCUGAGAGGGUGACCGGCCACAUUGGGACUGAGAUACGGCCCAGACUCCUACGGGAGGCAGCAGUGGGGAAUAUUGCACAAUGGGCGGAAGCCUGAUGCAGAAACGCCGCGUGCGGGAUGACGGCCUUCGGGUUGUAAACCGCUUUCGCAUGUGACGAGGCGUGAGUGACGGUAAUGGGUAAAGAAGCACCGGCUAACUACGUG